CCUACGGGUGGCAGCAGUGGGGAAUAUUGCGCAAUGGGCGAAAGCCUGACGCAGCGACGCCGCGUGAGGGAUGAAGGUCUUCGGAUUGUAAAGCUCUGUCAGCAGGGAAGAACGGUCACGGUGCUAAACAGCAGUGAAUUGACGGUACCUGCAAAGGAAGCACCGGCUAACUCCGUGCCAGCAGCCGCGGUAAUACGGAGGGUGCAAGCGUUAAUCGGAAUUACUGGGCGUAAAGCGCUCGUAGGCGGUGUGUCAAGUCAAGUGUGAAAUCCCCGGGCUCAACCUUGGAACUGCCUUUGAAACUGGCAAGCUGGAGUGUAGGAGAGGGUAGUGGAAUUCCAGGUGUAGCGGUGAAAUCCGUAGAGAUCUGGAGGAACAUCAGUGGCGAAGGCGACUCUCUGGCCCAUAACUGACGCUGAGGAGCGAAAGCGUGGGUAGCAAACAGGAUUAGAUACCCCGGUAGUC
rnacentral:rRNA from 1 species